rnacentral:lncRNA from 1 species
GGGAAAGAAGCAAGGGGAGGUGCUUGGAGUUGGAAAUCAGGGUUGAGGAUUAAGAUUCAGUAAUAUAUCAGGUUAGGGAUUGGUGGAGUGAUUGGGCAAAAGUCCAGAGAUGAGUUGGCUUUAGUAUAAGGUCAGGCUUACAGCAUCAGAAGCAGAAAUCUAGGGGUUGCAUCGGUUUGGCGUUACACUUCGUGACUGGAAGUCAUGGUGUCAGGAGGUCACAGAGGCCACUUCUGUUUUAGAUUGGACUAGGCAGUUGCUGAGGUCCCUUCCAGAUUUGAGGUUUGGGGGAAACUCACUGCUUGUCAUUUCUACAGAUGGAAGGGGAUUCAAAGGCACAGGACCUCCAUGUUACCUCUCAGUCAUCGGCUGUUGCACCGAGCACGCCAUCUGAGCCGGGAGCUUUGCCUGCUGCUGAGCCUGGCUGGACUAGCCAUCGCCGGUCUGCUCUCUCUGUAUAAGUCAUGGAUUUGCUUUUACGUGCCAGUGGGUGCUCCCGGCAAUUUCACCGUCAUUGACAUCUACACCUCUCUCCUUGUUCCCUGCCCAGAGACCGAAUGCACACUGGAGCCUGAUCAGCCGCCCUAUUACCUGACUUACUCCGUUGUCUUCAUACUCAUUGCUAGCCUCAUCAGUUUCCUUCUCUGCCUGGCCCUGGCCUACUCCAUUAUCUUCUUCACAGGCUCAGUGCCCAUCUUUGACCUGUCCACCUCCAUUGCCAGCUUCACUUCAGGCAUGAUCCCUAAUUCUUGGCCCUUUUCUGAUCCCAAUUCUCAAUACAACCUCAUCACCAACUCAAUCCAAAUUCAAUUUUAUCCCCAUCCUUA